GAGUUUGAUCCUGGCUCAGGACGAACGCUGGCGGUUUCUUAACACAUGCAAGUCGAGCGAGAACCGGCCCUUCGGGACCGGGGACAGCGGCGAACGGGUGAGUAACACGUGAGUAAUCCACCCUUGGCACCGGAAUAGCCCGGGGAAACCCGGAUUAAUGCCGGAUGGCCCGACAGCCUCUCGGGGCGGCGGAAAAGAUAGCUUCGGCCUUCGGCCAGACGAGCUCGCGGCGGAUUAUCUUGUUGGCGGGGUAACGGCCCACCAAGCGACGAUCCGUAGCUGGUCUGAAGGACGAUCACCACACUGGACUGAACACGGCCCAACUCUACGAGGCAGCAGUGGGGAAUCUUGCCAAUGGGGAAAGCCUGACGCAGCGACACCGCGUGAGGGAAGAAGGCUUCUGUUGUAAACCUCUUUCAGGAGGGACGAAGCCACUCGGUGAAUAGCCCAGAGGGUGACGUACCUCAUAAGAAGCCCCGGCUAACUACGUGCCAGCGCCGCGGAAUACUAAGGGGCAAGCGUUGCCGGAUUUAUUGGCGUAAAGAGCGGUACGCGCUUUUGCAAGUCCGCUGUGAAAACUCGAGGCUCAAUCUCAGCUUGUCGGUGAACCCGGGAGCUAGAUCCGGAGAAGAAAAGAGGAAUUCCCGCUGUUAUGUGAAAAUGCCCAA
rnacentral:rRNA from 1 species